UGAAGCAUGACUGCUUUUCACUGUGCUUUUAAUCUUUCAGGGUUUUAGAAGAUGCACGUGUGAGACCACAUUCAGUUCGCUUUUCUCAGCAGCUAGUUAAGAACUAUGAAUUAUGGAUUCCUGAUUCUGAAAUGCCACUUUCUUCAGGAUCGCAACUUGAAGAAACGGCAUUAGAAGAUGUAUUUGAAAUGCACAUUAAAAGCAAGAGGCAUAUCCUUGAUGAGGUAAAAAGGAGAAGAAUAGUUCAAAGCCUGAAGAAAGAGCUGGAAAUCAUGAACCAACCAGACCCUUCCAUCAGCUAUAAGGGCGCAUGGCAAACAGACACCAGCAUUCCCAUGACACGCUUCUAAACUUGUAACUUUGGGCACAGCAGAAAGCAUUUGAAAUUAGCCCAGGACAAGCAGCUAGAUUUUACACCAAUUACCAUGCAAACCUUGUGCAAACAGGAAAAUGAAGAAAGGAAGAUCCAGCUAAUGCAUGUUCCUGUGACAUAACACAGCAUCACUAUGGGAACAACUGGGUUAGCUUGCCAAGCACAAUGCCAGCGCACCAAAAAAAGACUUCUUCACAUGGACUUCCACAAUCACAAAGCCAGAUAAUAAGUGACCUUUUAUUUGUUAUGGAGAGCUGACGCUGAGGAAACACAUCCUAUGCAAUCCUCUCACUAGGAAUUCUGAUGAAACACUUAGAUAUUUUGAUUUACAGAGAGAUUGGAUAUUAAGGGUUUGAUACACCUUUCAGAACCCU